UACGUAGGGGGCUAGCGUUGUCCGGAUUUAUUGGGCGUAAAGAGCGUGUAGGCGGCCAGAUAGGUCUGCUGUGAAAGCCCGGGGCUCAACUCCGGGUCUGCAGUGGAUACGGGCAGGCUAGAGUCCGGCAGGGGAGACUGGAAUUCCUGGUGUAGCGGUGAAAUGCGCAGAUAUCAGGAGGAACACCGGUGGCGAAGGCGGGUCUCUGGGCCGGUACUGACGCUGAGGAGCGAAAGCGUGGGGAGCGAACAGG
rnacentral:rRNA from 1 species